rnacentral:rRNA from 1 species
AUUGAACGCUGGCGGCAGGCCUAACACAUGCAAGUCGAACGAGUGGCGGACGGGUGAGUAAUGUCUGGGAAACUGCCUGAUGGAGGGGGAUAACUACUGGAAACGGUAGCUAAUACCGCAUACUAUCAGAUGAGCCCAGGUGGGAUUAGCUAGUUGGUGGGGUAAAGGCUCACCAAGGCGACGAUCCCUAGCUGGUCUGAGAGGAUGAUCAGACACACUGGAACUGAGACACGGUCCAGACUCCUACGGGAGGCAGCAGUGGGGAAUAUUGGACAAUGGGCGCAAGCCUGAUUCAGCCAUGCCGCGUGUAUGAAGAAGGCCUUCGGGUUGUAAAGUACUUUCAGUGGGGAGGCGUUACCAACAGAAGAAGCACCGGCUAACUCCGUGCCAGCAGCCGCGGUAAUUC